AUAUAUACAAAACAGACUGCAAAGUGUUUGUGAAUAGGCACACAACAGAGAAUAUUAAUAUUAAAAGAGGCACAAGACAAGGAUGCCCAUUGUCCCCCUUAUUAUUUAUUUUGACUCUGGAAGUGCUAAAUAGAAACAUCCGCCAAGACAUAGAAAUAAAAGGCAUGGAGAUAAAAAAAAGAACAAUACAAAUUACAAGCUUUUGCAGACGAUUUGGUGUUUAUUAUAGAAGAAUCACAAGAAACGGGACCCAAACUAAUACAGAAAUUAGAAGACUAUGGUGACAUUGCAGGAUUGAAAAUAAACAAAGAGAAAACUAAAAUCUUAGUUUGAUACAAGGCAAGCA